AUGGCCCGGAUAGCUCCGUUUUAAAUGGGCCA
rnacentral:tRNA from 1 species